UUGAUUAUACUAUGGUACUUUUACUAUAUCUUUUCUAUGUUUAGAUAUGUUAAGAUACACAAAUACCACUGCAUUAUAAUUGCCUAUAGUAUUCAGUACAGUAACAUGCUAAACAGGUUAGUAGCCUAGGAGCAAUAAGCCACCUACCAUAUAGCUUAGGUGUGUAGUAGUCUCUUUCAUCUAGGUUUGUGUAAGUACACUUUAUGAUGCUCAUACAAUGACAAAAUCGCCUAAUGGUACAUUUCUUAUAUCUCAGGCAUAAAUCAAUACAUGACUUUGAAAAGAAGGCCAGAGUAGGUCUCUGAGGAAGGUGCUGUUGAGAAGAGACCGACAUGGGCAGAGGCGCCAGCAAUGCAAAGAUUUACAUUGACAACAUGCACAACAGGCUCAUGUAAAAGGAUUAUCUGAUGUGUCAUCAUGACUUAAUGAAGAACGCAAAUGCUUCUCGAUGAAAUUGAAGUAAAAAGAGGAAACAGAAGGGAAAAUGAGAGUCUAAAAAGAAACAAAGAGAAGUUAACUUUUAAGAGAUGACAAAUUCUACCUGCCACGAUGUUUUAUUUUAAUCUGAAAGAA
ensembl:lncRNA novel transcript